AACAGGCUUAUCUCCCCCAAGAGUCCACAUCGACGGGGAGGUUUGGCACCUCGAUGUCGGCUCAUCACAUCCUGGGGCUGUAGUAGGUCCCAAGGGUUGGGCUGUUCGCCCAUUAAAGUGGUACGCGAGCUGGGUUCAGAACGUCGUGAGACAGUUCGGUCCCUAUCCGUCGCAGGCGUAGGCAAUUUGAGAAGACCUGUCCUUAGUACGAGAGGACCGGGAUGGACGUACCUCUGGUGUACCAGUUGUCCUGCCAAGGGCAUGGCUGGGUAGCUAUGUACGGAAUGGAUAAGCGCUGAAAGCAUCUAAGCGCGAAGCCAACUUCAAGAUAAGAUUUCCCACCGCAAGGGUAAGACCCCAGAAAGACUAUCUGGUUG
rnacentral:rRNA from 1 species